rnacentral:rRNA from 1 species
GACGAACGCUGGCGGCGUGCUUAACACAUGCAAGUCGAACGGUAAGGCCCUUUCGGGGGUACACGAGUGGCGAACGGGUGAGUAUCACGUGGGUGAUCUGCCCUGCACUUUGGGAUAAGCCUGGGAAACUGGGUCUAAUACCGAAGAGGACUACGCUCUGCAUGGGGUGUGGUGGAAAGCUUUUGCGGUGUGGGAUGGGCCCGCGGCCUAUCAGCUUGUUGGUGGGGUGAUGGCCUACCAAGGCGACGACGGGUAGCCGGCCUGAGAGGGUGUCCGGCCACACUGGGACUGAGAUACGGCCCAGACUCCUACGGGAGGCAGCAGUGGGGAAUAUUGCACAAAGGGCGCAAGCCUGAUGCAGCGACGCCGCGUGGGGGAUGACGGCCUUCGGGUUGUAAACCUCUUUCAGCACAGACGAAGCGCAAGUGACGGUAUGUGCAGAAGAAGGACCGGCCAACUACGUGCCAGCCGCCGCGGUAA